GAGCUCAUUUCAGCAGCACAUAUACUAAAAUUGAAAUGAUACAGAGAAGAUCAGGAUGUCCUCUGUGCAAAGAUGACAUGCAGAUUCAUGAAAUGUUCCAUAUUAAA